GACGAACGCUGGCGGCGUGCUUAACACAUGCAAGUCGAACGGAAAGGCCCUGCUUUUGUGGGGUGCUCGAGUGGCGAACGGGUGAGUAACACGUGAGUAACCUGCCCUUGACUUUGGGAUAACUUCAGGAAACUGGGGCUAAUACCGGAUAGGAGCUCCUGCUGCAUGGUGGGGGUUGGAAAGUUUCGGCGGUUGGGGAUGGACUCGCGGCUUAUCAGCUUGUUGGUGGGGUAGUGGCUUACCAAGGGUUUGACGGGUAGCCGGCCUGAGAGGGUGACCGGCCACAUUGGGACUGAGAUACGGCCCAGACGCCUACGGGAGGCAGCAGUGGGGAGUAUUGCACAAUGGGCGGAAGCCUGAUGCAGCAACGCCGCGUGCGGGAUGACGGCCUUCGGGUUGUAAACCGCUUUCGCCUGUGACGAAGCGUGAGUGACGGUAAUGGGUAAAGAAGCACCGGCUAACUACGUG
rnacentral:rRNA from 1 species